rnacentral:piRNA from 1 species
UGCAGUAAUGUUAAGGGUGUGUUCAAG